rnacentral:rRNA from 1 species
AUUGAACGCUGGCGGCAUGCCUUACACAUGCAAGUCGAACGGUAACAGGUCUUCGGAUGCUGACGAGUGGCGAACGGGUGAGUAAUACAUCGGAACGUGCCUAGUAGUGGGGGAUAACUACUCGAAAGAGUGGCUAAUACCGCAUGAGAUCUACGGAUGAAAGCAGGGGAUCGCAAGACCUUGUGCUACUAGAGCGGCCGAUGGCAGAUUAGGUAGUGGGUGGGAUAAAAGCUUACCAAGCCGACGAUCUGUAGCUGGUCUGAGAGGACGAUCAGACACACUGGGACUGAGACACGGGCCAGACUCCUACGGGAGGCAGCAGUGGGGAAUUUUGGACAAUGGGCGCAAGCCUGAUCCAGCAAUGCCGCGUGCAGGAUGAAGGCCUUCGGGUUGUAAACUGCUUUUGUACGGAACGAAAAGCCCUGGGUUAAUACACUGGGGUCAUGACGGUACCGUAAGAAUGAGCACCGGCUAACUACGUGCCAGCCGCCGCGGUAAAAC